GGAAACGACUGCUAAUACCGCAUACGAUCCAAUCUCGGCAUCGAGGAUGGAUGAAAGGUGGCCUCUAUUUAUAAGCUAUCACUGAAGGAGGGGAUUGCGUCUGAUUAGCUAGUUGGAGGGGUAACGGCCCACCAAGGCAACGAUGCAUAGCCGACCUGAGAGGGUGAUCGGCCACACUGGAACUGAGACACGGUCCAG
rnacentral:rRNA from 1 species